UACGAAGGGGGCUAGCGUUGUUCGGAAUUACUGGGCGUAAAGCGCGCGCAGGCGGUCUUCCAAGUCAGUGGUGAAAGCCCGGAGCUCAACUCCGGAACUGCCAUUGAAACUGUGAGACUUGAGUACGAGAGAGGUGAGUGGAAUUCCCAGUGUAGAGGUGAAAUUCGUAGAUAUUGGGAAGAACACCGGUGGCGAAGGCGGCUCACUGGC
rnacentral:rRNA from 1 species